rnacentral:rRNA from 1 species
CCUACGGGUGGCAGCAGUAGGGAAUAUUGCUCAAUGGGGGAAACCCUGAAGCAGCAACGCCGCGUGGAGGAUGAAGGUUUUCGGAUUGUAAACUCCUUUUGGCAGAGAAGAUAAUGACGGUAUCUAACGAAUAAGCACCGGCUAACUCCGUGCCAGCAGCCGCGGUAAUACGGAGGGUGCAAGCGUUACUCGGAAUUACUGGGCGUAAAGAGCGCGUAGGCGGGAUAGCAAGUCAGAUGUGAAAUCCUAUGGCUUAACCAUAGAACUGCAUUUGAAACUGCUAUUCUAGAGUAUGGGAGAGGUAGGUGGAAUUCUUGGUGUAGGGGUGAAAUGCGUAGAGAUCAAGAGGAAUACUCAUUGCGAAGGCGACCUGCUAGAACAUAACUGACGCUGAGGCGCGAAGGCGUGGGGAGCAAACAGGAUUAGAUACCCCUGUAGUC